GAGAGCCGUAACACAGGUGCUGCAUGGCUGUCGUCAGCUCGUGUCGUGAGAUGUUCGGGUUAAGUCCCGCAACGAGCGCAACCCUUGCCAUUAGUUGCUACGAAAGGGCACUCUAAUGGGACUGCCGGUGACAAACCGGAGGAAGGUGGGGAUGACGUCAAGUCCUCAUGGCCCUUAUAGGUGGGGCUACACACGUCAUACAAUGGCCGGUACAGAGGGUAGCCAACCCGCGAGGGGGAGCCAAUCCCACAAAGCCGGUCGUAGUCCGGAUCGCAGUCUGCAACUCGACUGCGUGAAGUCGGAAUCGCUAGUAAUCGCGGAUCAGCAUGUCGCGGUGAAUACGUUCCCGGGUCUU
rnacentral:rRNA from 1 species